AUGUAUUCCUACUCGCGUAUUUGCACCUCAUGUUGAAAGUGGACAAAGUAUUUCUAUGGAGUUUCUCAGGAGGUUGGAUUUAUGGCGCCCAGAAUAUCGUCGCUGUAUUGUUUGGUAAUAAUAGCGUUACUGAUUAGCUGCAGAGAAGUAUACAGCUAUGAAAUAGUUGAAAGGGUCUUCUUACGAUCACUUCAUUGAAAAGGCAACUCAGUAGAAAGGUGGUGCAUGUGCAGAUGUCAUCAGCCUUAGACGUCAGAGAGUACAUCAGGGGACGCAAAAUGCGAGGAGUCAGCGCGCGCAGUGCAACUUAAAAAGAAGAAAGGAAGAUGCAUUUCCAAGUAUUCUUCUGCAAGUAAAAGUGAGAUUGUGCGUGUGAUUAUGGCUGCAAGAAAACAUCAUGUCUUAGACGUCUUAGAUAUGGUGGAAUGAUUGGCAAGUUUUAGUGCAGGUGUAGUUUAUCAUCUAUCGCCCAAGAGUUCGGAACUGAUAAAAGUAAUAUUUCAUGAGCUUUGAAAAUCUUCCAAAACGACAGGUACAGCUGUAAGAAAGGUUAGUGGUGCUCCGCCAUAGAAAACAAUGGUGACUGAUCACUGAUAUAUUGCCCUGCAGGUGAAAAGAGAUCGAAACCAGACAGUGGGCAACAGGAAAGCGGGUGUCUCGUUGUAAUGUGGCCAAACAGCCUAGUUACCCCGCCGUCUUAAAUGCUGCUUAUCUUUGCUAGCAGCCCAUCGACACCACAGUUUAAAGUGGUGUAGAGAACACAGAGACUGGACACCUCACCAAUGAAAUCACGUUUUCUUUACCGAUAAGAGUCAUUUCCAUCUGACAAACGAUUCUCGGUGCCACAUGAUAUGGAGAGAGGUAGGGACACUCUUUCCUCUUGAUAUAAAAAAAGAGACCAUUGGGGUGGUUCUGGCAUGCUUGUAUGAUGAGGCAUUCUUAUGAAUGGUACUAGACAUGGUUAUUAUGAAGUAUCCUUCCCUACUGGAGUCUUUUCCGAUGUGCUGUUGGUCCCGACUUUGUUUUUGUGGGUUACAUAUGCACGGAAUGGAUUGGCCAUCGCGCACCCCUGAUUUAAAUUUCAUUGGACAUGUGUGGGAUACUUUAGGAAGACGCCUGGCCUCUGGAGAACACUAGACAACAAACAAAUGCUCCUUGGAAGAACCCUGAACUCCAAGAACUGGUAGAUAAUCUGGUGUUUAGUAUCAACAAACAGUGCAGCGCACUCAUUGCACUUAGAGGAGGUCAUAUCCCUAAUUAAGGCUCUUUGGCUUGUCGUUCUUCCUCUUGGCCAGACAGUUUUUUGUACCAAUGCUAAUUUUGUCAAUAAAGCCAUUUUCUAUUCGUUUCAUACUAUAUGCGUCCUGUUUAUUUCUUUGCUACUAGACUUUCCUCAGCCGUACUUGUACUAUCCUCAUACUUACGUUGUGCCGGUGUACUGCGAAUUUCAUGUCUCCCAGCUGAUUUUUGGCGGAAUAGCGGCACAUAUCAGAAAAGUUGCUUAUAUAUUGUAUAGUAAUAUCGUAAAUAUAUUAUAUAUAGAUAGAUAGAUUUGCAGUGGACCGAAUCGAAUUUUCAGGCAGGCUGGAGCGGGCCAUCAUUUGCCCAUCCCUGAUCUAGAGGUUAUCAACUCGAUCAUCUACAUCUUUACAGAAAACUUGCUGCAGAAUAUACACCGUGUACUUUUCUAUAUUUUAGAUACUUUGUUGAUCAUUUUCUUUGCUUCAUCAUUUCUCCUCUUUAUUUAUACCAAGAUUUAUUUGUCAUGUAGUUUUCCUUAAAUAUAUUUGAAAGUGAGCUGGAUUAUCUCUAAGUAAAUAUGGUAACUCUGCUUAUUUGACUCAGUGUUUGGCAUUUUAUAUUGUGGAAUAACUUAUGGCCAGUGCUGAAUAGGCAAGUGCGCGCCAUUGGAUUAAAAAAAAUAGUAUGGAAUAACUGGUUUAGUAAUUACGACACUCAGUGUAAGGCAUCUGAUUUCUAAAAGAUCACGUUUCAAGGCUUCCUUUUUGCAUUUCUUGUAACUGCAGAAUCUAUAUAUACGUAGUUGUAACAAGAUCGAUGAUCCCAACUUUAAGGGAUAAUAAAACAGGGCGAAAGUAACGAUUAUUAUGAUGCUGGUGGAAUGUGAAGUAAGAAUGCAGGGAAACACAGUUAAGUCUAAAGAAUAUAGAGGGCGAAAAAUCACUUUAAUCCAUGCUAUUGGCAACAAAUUAUGUCAAAUAAUGUCCGAUAUUUACAAGCAUUAUUUAUAUGAAUAACCACCAACUGCAGCACUUGCAUCGCAAUUAAGUUAUUGUUGUAUACUUUGGAAGAUGCCUGGUAUAUCACAUACUUCUGCAAUAAUUAAGCUAAUGCUGGAGAAUUUGCGUCUCGUAAAUGAGAUCCAACAUCUUUGUUAUGCUUGUAUUGCAAUUGGUGGUUGUUCAUUUCAUCAAUUUUUGUAAAUAUCAUUUACUAUCUCAUGUAAAUAUAUGUGAUUAAAAUGACUUUUGCGGUCUUUGUGCUUAA